AAAAAAGAAAAUGGGGCUCUGCAAUACUCAGCUCUGCCCAGAAAACUGUUAUUUCAAGGACUAAAAAUUUCCUGGGUGUGGUUUCUACGAGUAGGAGUUUCUAUAUCUCCAAAGCUUUGCAGUGCUUCUAUAUGGGAGAUAAUGAAAAUACUAGCUACACUCAUCUGAUAUUUCAGAGGUUGCAGAAGACAGUAGCCCCAUCUCUGUCCUGUGAAUGUCCUUGUGUGUCCUUCCCAUGCAGAUAAAAUAGUGCUUGACUUAUACAAUUAUCUGCUUAGAAGACCUAUCUGAACCCAUGAAGCCCUAGACUGCAAUCCGUCCAGCUUUUGCAAGCUAAAAAAGGCUCCGAUGUUCGACAUUUACUUACAUACAGUUUCAGAUGAGCUUCUGUGCACCUGAUUACCUGGGAGACUGAAAUCCAUCUGUCAGGAUGCUCAAUAUCCAGAGGCAGCUACAACGCAAGGAGGAAAAGUGGUGACGGAUCUACUGCAGUAAGGGAGGAGGCUGCUAAUAAGGACGUGUUUUGUUGUUUUUUUUUUUCUCUGGAGUUGUUGUGCAUUUCACAGAGUCACAGAAUUGCAGGAGUUGGAAGAGACUUCUAGAGUCCAACCCCUUUGCUAAAGCAGAUUCUCUACAGCAGGUCACAUACAUAGACAUCCAGGUGGGUGUUGAAUAUCUCCAGAGAAAGAGACUCCACAACCUCUCUGGGCAGCCUGUUUCAGCGCUCUGUCACUCUGACAGAGAAGAAAAUCUUCCUUGCGUUGUGUUCUAGUUUCUGCCCAUUGCCCCUUAUCUACUGAUGCUUGCCACUGAAAAGAGCCUGCCCCCGCUGACUUGACUCCCACAGUUUAGAUGUUUAUAAACAAUGAUGAGAUCCCCUCUCAGCCUUCUCUUCUCCAGACUGAAGAGGUUCAGACUCAGCCUUUCCUCACUAGGGAGAUGCUUCACAAUCUUAAUCAUCCCUGUGGCCCUCCACUGGACUCUUCUAGAUGAUCCUCAUCUUCACAAAGAGAGCCUAUUAUGCAAAUAAGGAUAGUUUUGACCUAUAUAAUCAUGGGAAAUUGACAUUCAUAUGAAGAGGAAUGGUUCCUUAUCUCAGAACUUUCCUCCUGGUUACCUGUGAGAUAAGAGUGGCAAUGUCCCCUGAAAUGCCUUCUGUAUCUAUAGAUGAUAACAUAAAACUGCACAGGGACAAUCUGAUUUCCUGACAGAUUCUGCUAGACUUCUCAGGAGCACUCUUAUCCUUCAGGACUUCUGUAUAAGCUUUCCAUUAUUUCAAGAAUACUUCUUGUAGAACUGGAGCUUUACUAAUGUCAUCACAAAAAUGUGGAAAUUUUGGCGGUGCUUUCUUUUUUUUAAACACACUCCCAACCUCCCAGCUAAUUUACAAAGAAGUUAACUCAGUUCAACAAGAAGCUGAAAUACUUUUUGUCUGUCAAAAAAAUGCAAAUGAAAUGAACAGUUCUCUCUUCUAUACUUUUUUUUUUAAGUCAGUAUUUCUCAGUAAAAGUGCUUCACUGGCACUAGAUUCUAUCAUCAAUCACUCCCUGGAAAAUAUUUUUUCUUCUGUGAUCUGACUAGACCAAAUGAAAUUUAAAUCUUGUCAAAUUUUUCCCCGGGAGCAGUAACUAAAUUAAAUCUGCCCCUGACAAUUUCACAUUUGAACGAACUCUUUUUUAGCUAAUGCAACAGAUGACAUUCUAGUAUCUGGAAUAAGGGGAGAUAACUGAUGAGCUUUUUCUUCAAGGCGGUCUGCAGAAGUGUUGAGGUGCCUCAAAUUUAAAAGAUGGUUCAGCACUACAUUGGGCAAGCUGAUGCAAAGGAAUGAUGACACAUCCAGGAAACCCAGUAACUCAAUCAGAGAAAAAAUAGCACCUGGUUUGGCUACACCUGGAACUGUCCCAAGAGAGAGAUUCCAUUCACUUGAGAUUAUGCCCUUCAAGAAUGAGUCACUGGGAGCAGCUCUCCAGAUCAUGUUAUAGACUGAGGUGAGUCACUGACUACAAGAGUGCAGGACUCAUUAUGGUAAGCUAGGGAAAUACAGCCUGGGGUUCUACAAGACUCACUAGGAUAUUUCUAGUGAUGUCUUGGAUGAUAGGCUCUCUAGUGGGUGCAUAUGGUUGGUACGAAGGCUUAAGCAUCAGCAACAGCACUUGGACCAUAGGUCACAGGGCCUGAGUCUAGGUUUGCAGGGUUGUGAUGACAGUUACCAGACAGUAAGUAACUAUGGCCACUGAGGACCUUCAUACUGAUCAGCCAG